UGGACUUUGUUUGGUAACAAAUAGUACGAUACGUUUUUACAUAAAAGAGGAGAUUUAGAAACCCUUUAUCGUGACACUCCCAGAUUUGGCCAUAGCGUCUAGGCCAGGUUUGGGGUGUUACAGAUGAUAUGAAUAUGAUGUAUGUGUAUUUCGUUGUUGCUUGAUGACUUGUUUACAUAGUUGUAAUUUUGUGCAUUCACUUAGCUUGUUAAGCUCACCCACUCCAUUUUAACCUUUGUAGAGUAGUCGCGUUCUAGGUGUGGCCUUCAAGGGGUGAUCCCAG
rnacentral:lncRNA from 1 species